GAUCGAAAGUGAAAAACCCGAGGUAAGAAGGAAGACGAGAAAAAAAGAGGCUGGGAACAGACAGAGCAUGGAUAGAGCUUACUUACAGAAACCCUUUUGUUUUGACCCUUCCCAUGCACUGCCUCUUCCCUGGCCUUUUUCCCUCUUCUCUUCCACCCUCUUUUUCUUUUUUGGUC
rnacentral:pre_miRNA from 1 species